rnacentral:misc_RNA from 1 species
UUGCGGCUGGAUCACCUCCUUUCUAAGGAUGAUCCUUCAGAGCGCCUCACGCGUCUCUAUCGGAUCUCUUGGAAACAUCAGGACGAACCGGUUUCAGGAUCGGUUAUGUCCAUAGGCGGGACACCGCCGUCUUCUUUUCUCUUUCUUCAUGGACAAGCCCGUGCAGCUCUUUUCCGCAUACGGCGGAACGAGAGCAUGCCGGUCAUUGAGACCUAUUGUCGUCGAGGCCCUUGGUCGUUGAGGCCUAUGGUCGUCGACCAAUAAAGGUCUUGGGCUUGUAGCUCAGUUGGUUAGAGCGCGCG